rnacentral:rRNA from 1 species
CGCGUAGGUGGUUUGUUAAGUUGGAUGUGAAAGCCCCGGGCUCAACCUGGGAACUGCAUCCAGAACUGGCAAGCUAGAGUACGGUAGAGGGUGGUGGAAUUUCCUGUGUAGCGGUGAAAUGCGUAGAUAUAGGAAGGAACACCAGUGGCGAAGGCGACCACCUGGACUGAUACUGACACUGAGGUGCGAAAGCGUGGGGAGCAAACA